rnacentral:rRNA from 1 species
GUGAUGGGUAUGCUACCAGGCGACGACGGGUAGCCGACCUGAGAGGGUGACCGGCCACACUGGGACUGAGACACGGCCCAGACUCCUACGGGAGGCAGCAGUGGGGAAUAUUGCACAAUGGGCGGAAGCCUGAUGCAGCGACGCCGCGUGAGGGAUGAAGGCCUUCGGGUUGUAAACCUCUUUCAGCAGGGACGAAGCGUGAGUGACGGUACCUGCAGAAGAAGCACCGGCUAACUACGUGCCAGAGG